rnacentral:lncRNA from 1 species
AUCUAACUAGGGCUAACUCAAUCUAUAGUCUGACCAGCUGGACCAUUCUGUAAUGAAGUCUUCUAAGACACUAAAAUGUCUUAAAGAAAGGCACCUUCUUACUCCAUUCUCCGUUCAAGCAAGCAACCAAAAUAUGCUCCCCAACCAUGGAGGCUCACACCUGGAUAAAAGAUAUGUAGGUGGCAAGGUGAAACUGUUAUGGAAAUUGAGCCAGAUGAGCUAUAGCGUAGAAGAAAAAAAUGGAUUUUGGAUCAGUGGGACCUGUUCACAAAUUCAAGUUCCAUUAUGACUAGCUGUCUGAUCUUGAGACACAGCAUCUAUAAGGAAUGAUAACUGUUAGACUUCUACUCUUCAGUUCCAGCAACUUGCAGAGCCAACUGUAAUACAAUAAAUAAAGCACAUCCCACAUUCCCCGAAGGCUGUGAGGUCAAGCUGGUUGGGAUAUGUGACCCUCGUUGAUCACCGGGGUAUUUCGGUUGCUCCGACUGGCUAGAUGUA